rnacentral:rRNA from 1 species
UACGGAGGGUGCAAGCGUUAUCCGGAUUUACUGGGUUUAAAGGGUGCGUAGGUGGGUUGGUAAGUCAGUGGUGAAAUCUUCGAGCUUAACUCGGAAACUGCCAUUGAUACUAUUAAUCUUGAAUUAUCUGGAGGUAAGCGGAAUAUGUCAUGUAGCGGUGAAAUGCUUAGAUAUGACAUAGAACACCCAUUGCGAAGGCAGCUUACUACGGAUACAUUGACACUGAGGCACGGAAGCGUGGGGAUCAAACAGG